rnacentral:rRNA from 1 species
CAGCCGCCGCGGGAACACGAAGGGGGCUAGCGUUGUUCGGAAUUACUGGGCGUAAAGCGCACGUAGGCGGAUAUUUAAGUCAGGGGUGAAAUCCCAGAGCUCAACUCUGGAACUGCCUUUGAUACUGGGUAUCUUGAGUAUGGAAGAGGUGAGUGGAAUUCCGAGUGUAGAGGUGAAAUUCGUAGAUAUUCGGGGGAACACCAGUGGCGAAGGCGGCUCACUGGUCCAUUACUGACGCUGAGGUGCGAAAGCGUGGGGAGCAAACAGGAUUAGAUACCCGUGUAGUCCCUGUCUCUUAUAC